rnacentral:rRNA from 1 species
GUGAGGAAUUUUCCGCAAUCGGCGAAAGCCUGACGGAGCAAUGCCGCGUGAAGGAUGAAGGCCUAUGGGUUGUAAACUUCUUUUCUCAGAAAAGAAUUAUGACGGUAUCUGAGGAAUAAGCAUCGGCUAACUCUGUGCCAGCAGCCGCGGUAAGACAGAGGAUGCAAGCGUUAUCCGGAAUGAUUGGGCGUAAAGCGUCUGUAGGUUGUUUAAAAAGUAUUCUGUCAAAGAUUAGGGCUUAACCCUAGAUAGGCAGAAUAAACUUUUAAGCUAGAGUUUGGUAGAGGCAGAGGGAAUUCCCGGUGGAGCGGUGAAAUGCGUAGAUAUCGGGAGGAACACCAAAGGCGAAGGCACUCUGCUGGGCCAAUACUAACACUGAGAGACGAAAGCGAGGGGAGCAAAUGGGAUUAGAAACCCUAGUAGUCC